rnacentral:lncRNA from 1 species
ACGCUCCUUCAGGUAGUGACCUCUUUGAAUGAUUUAACUCCCUCAUCGCUCAACUUGCAGAGUCUUUUGAGUAACCCCAAUGUCCAAUCGCUGUGUUUGGGACAACAUGAGUUUUGGCCACGUUUAGGUGCCACACUUCUCAAUGCAGCCCCGUCGCAUUAUGUCACCGAUUUAAUGGCCCAGUUAGUCGAUCGUAUUUAUGAUAGUGGAAGUUUGAUGCACCAUGAGUUGUUAGAAAAAAUCUGGGAAAAAAGAGGUGAGAUGAAGCUAUCUAUGAGAGCUCUAGAGCAAAUAUUGAAAACACAUCCGUCCUUGCUAGAAGCCUCAUUAUCGAAAUUACUUCUGAAAGAAAAUGACUGCCUUUCAGCCAAGGCGCUCUGGAGCCAACCUCGUCACACAGCCAUUGUUCGCCUGGCUGCUGAGUCACCAGAAGUCUUCCAAGCAGCAACUAGCAUCAUGAACGAAAUCCUUAUCCGAACAAACCUUGCUGCUCACAUCGUGGAAUUAAUCCGAAUGUUUAUAAGAGGAGUAAGGUAUCUUACCAUGGAUUUUAGGCCUUCUUACGCUUCUGGUAAGUUUUUUUUAAUGGGUUUAAUAUAUCCUUUUCUUCAGAUAUCAUGAGAUCUGUGCCCUUUUAUCAUACUCCAUCCACCCACGUAUGGACAUAUUUUCAACUG